rnacentral:rRNA from 1 species
GACGAACGCUGGCGGCGUGCUUAACACAUGCAAGUCGAACGGAAAGGCCCUGCUUUUGUGGGGUGCUCGAGUGGCGAACGGGUGAGUAACACGUGAGUAACCUGCCCUUGACUUUGGGAUAACUUCAGGAAACUGGGGCUAAUACCGGAUAGGAGCUCCUGCUGCAUGGUGGGGGCUGGAAAGUUUCGGCGGUUGGGGAUGGACUCGCGGCUUAUCAGCUUGUUGGUGGGGUAGUGGCUUACCAAGGCUUUGACGGGUAGCCGGCCUGAGAGGGUGACCGGCCACAUUGGGACGGAGAUACGGCCCAGACUCCUACGGGAGGCAGCAGUGGGGAAUAUUGCACAAUGGGCGGAAGCCUGAUGCAGCAACGCCGCGUGCGGGAUGACGGCCUUCGGGUUGUAAACCGCUUUCGCCUGUGACGAAGCGUGAGUGACGGUAAUGGGUAAAGAAGCACCGGCUAACUACGUG